rnacentral:rRNA from 1 species
GGAAUUUUGCGCAAUGGGCGAAAGCCUGACGCAGCAACGCCGCGUGGAUGAUGAAGGCCUUUGGGUCGUAAAAUCCUGUCAAGUGGGAAGAACUCCCCGCCGCGCACAGCGGUCGGGGAGUGACUGUACCACUGGAGGAAGCCCCGGCUAACUCCGUGCCAGCAGCCGCGGUAAUACGGAGGGGGCGAGCGUUGUUCGGAAUCAUUGGGCGUAAAGGGCGCGUAGGCGGCUUUGUAAGUCGGUUGUGAAAUCCCGUGGCUCAACCAAGGAACUGCAACCGAAACUGCAGGGCUCGAGUCCGGGAGAGGGUAGUGGAAUUCCCAGUGUAGCGGUGAAAUGCGUAGAUAUUGGGAGGAACACCGGUGGCGAAGGCGGCUGCCUGGACCGGAACUGACGCUGAGGCGCGAAAGCUAGGGGAGCAAAC